rnacentral:rRNA from 1 species
UACGAAGGGGGCCAGCGUUGUUCGGAAUUACUGGGCGUAAAGCGCACGUAGGCGGAUUGUUUAGUGAGGGGUGAAAUCCCAGGGCUCAACCCUGGAACUGCCUCUCAUACUGGCAAUCUAGAGUUCGAGAGAGGUGAGUGGAAUUCCGAGUGUAGAGGUGAAAUUCGUAGAUAUUCGGAGGAACACCAGUGGCGAAGGCGGCUCACUGGCUCGAUACUGACGCUGAGGUGCGAAAGCGUGGGGAGCAAACAGG